GUGGGGAAUAUUGCGCAAUGGACGAAAGUCUGACGCAGCGACGCCGCGUGUGGGAUGAAGCCUUUCGGGGCGUAAACCACUGUUGCCCGGGACGAACAUCCCCUUUCGAGGGGACUGACGGUACCGGGUGAGGAAGCACCGGCUAACUCUGUGCCAGCAGCCGCGGUAAUACAGAGGGUGCGAGCGUUGUCCGGAAUCACUGGGCGUAAAGGGCGCGUAGGUGGCUUGGUAAGCGUGUGGUGAAAGUCCGGGGCUCAACCCCGGAUCUGCCGUGCGAACUGCUGAGCUCGAGCAAUGUAGAGGCAGGUGGAAUUUCGGGUGUAGCGGUGGAAUGCGUAGAUAUCCGAAAGAACACCAGUGGCGAAGGCGGCCUGCUGGGCAUUUGCUGACACUGAGGCGCGACAGCGUGGGGAGCAAACAGGAUUAGAUACCCUGGUAGUCC
rnacentral:rRNA from 1 species